rnacentral:rRNA from 1 species
UAAAGAAUUUCGGUCAUCGAUGGGGAUGCGUUCCAUUAGCUUGUUGGCGGGGUAACGGCCCACCAAGGCAUCGAUGGAUAGGGGUUCUGAGAGGAAGGUCCCCCACAUUGGAACUGAGACACGGUCCAAACUCCUACGGGAGGCAGCAGUGAGGAAUAUUGGUCAAUGGGCGCUAGCCUGAACCAGCCAAGUAGCGUGAAGGAUGACUGCCCUAUGGGUUGUAAACUUCUUUUAUAUGGGAAUAAAGUGCAGUAUGUAUACUGCUUUGCAUGUACCUUAUGAAUAAGGAUCGGCUAACUCCGUGCCAGCAGCCGCGGUAAUACGGAGGAUCCGAGCGUUAUCCGGAUUUAUUGGGUUUAAAGGGAGCGUAGGCGGGUUGUUAAGUCAGUUGUGAAAGUUUGCGGCUCAACCGUAAAAUUGCAGUUGAUACUGGCAUCCUUGAGUACAGUAGAGGUAGGCGGAAUUCGUGGUGUAGCGGUGAAAUGCUUAGAUAUCACGAAGAACUCCGAUUGCGAAGGCAGCCUGCUGGACUGUAACUGACGCUGAUGCUCGAAAGUGUGGGUAUCAAACAGGAUUAGAUACCCUGGUAGUCCACACAGUAAACGAUGAAUACUCGCUGUUUGCGAU